rnacentral:rRNA from 1 species
UACGAAGGGGGCUAGCGUUGCUCGGAAUCACUGGGCGUAAAGGGCGCGUAGGCGGCCGUAUAAGUCGGGGGUGAAAGCCUGUGGCUCAACCACAGAAUUGCCUUCGAUACUGUACGGCUCGAGACCGGAAGAGGUAAGUGGAACUGCGAGUGUAGAGGUGAAAUUCGUAGAUAUUCGCAAGAACACCAGUGGCGAAGGCGGCUUACUGGUCCGGUUCUGACGCUGAGGCGCGAAAGCGUGGGGAGCAAACAGGAUUAGAUACCCUGGUAGUCCACGCUGUAAACGAUGAAUGCUAGCCGUUGGCAAGCUUGCUUGUCAGUGGCGCAGUUAACACAUUAAGCAUUCCGCCUGGGGAGUACGAUCGCAAGAUUAAA